AUGAUGACUAUGGUACUAAAGAGUCACCGCGUGAUUCGCUCCUUGAAAGACAAGCGCAAUGAUAAGAUGAAAGCUACUGUCGUCCACAUGCGUAAAGCAAUGAAGAUCAAUGAAUGGAUUAGCUUGCAGGAGUGUUUUCACAAGUCAAACAAGCAGCUUGCCGAAGUUGUUCGUGUCAAUGAAUCUGCGAAAAUUCCAAACGGGUGUAUCUCAACUCUUAUGCUACUAGAGGAUUUCCUUGCUAAGGCUCUUGCAAACAAGGAAGCCAAGAAGAAGAUGAGCAGCAGCAGCAACGUGAAGGCGCUAAAUAUUGUCAAACAAAAACUGAAGAACAACAAGCAGUAUGAAGACUCCGAGCAGACUGUGUCAGCUGGUCUUUGUCAAAUCACCGAGCUCCUCGCCUCGCCUCUGACCCGCCCCAUGCAGUCCCUCACGAAGAGCCGCCGUUGCGACCGCUUUGAGGUUGCCCUGGCCUGCUCCACUUCUGCCAGGCCGCCGCCUUCGCCGCCUGCCUCGAGCCGCCCUGUGGUGGCAGGUCUCAUUUUUGCUCUUAAACAACGAAAGAAAGGAUAA
rnacentral:rRNA from 1 species